AUGGAAGCAAUAGCAUCUGUCGACACCUCCACUGAUAAUCUUAUCCAGAAGAUUAUUCGAACAGAGUUCAAAGCCUGCAUUGUGCUCACCAUUGCACAUCGUAUCCCUACUGUUAUUGACAGCGAUCGAGUUCUGGUGCUCAGUGAUGGUCGAGUUGUUGAGUUUGACACUCCUUUACGGCUAUUAGAAGAUAAGUCAUCCAUGCUUCUAAAGCUGGUAUCUGAGUAUUCAUCGCGGUCGAGCAGCAUACCAGAAUUUUAG